rfam:Oryza nivara chromosome 8, whole genome shotgun sequence.
CUAUGUGCAUUAUUGUCCUAGUACGAGAGGACCGGGAAGGAUGCACCUUUGGUGUACCAAUUAUCGUGCCUACGGUAAACGCUGGGUAGCCAAGUACGGAGAGGAUAGCUGCUGAAAGCAUAUAAGUAGUAAGCCCACCUCAAGAUGAG